GAUGAACGCUGGCGGUAUGCCUUAGGCAUGCAAGUCGAAUGGUUUCCGCAAGGGAACAAUGGCAGACGGGUGAGUAACGAUAAGGAACGUACCCUGAAAUGGAGGAUAGCUCGCCGAAAGGUGGGGUAAUCCUGCAUGUGACCGUAAGGUCAAAGAGCGUAACUGCUCGUUUUAGGAGCGGCCUUAUUCCUAUCAGCUAGUUGGUAAGGUAAUGGCUUACCAAGGCGAUGACGGGUAGGGGGCGUGAGAGCGUGACCCCCCACAAUGGCACUGAGACACGGGCCAUACACCUACGGGUGGCUG
rnacentral:rRNA from 1 species